ACAUUAGUGGUUCAAUGGUAGAAUUCUCACCUUCCAUGUGGGAGGCCCAGGUUCGAUUCCUGGCCAGUGCA
rnacentral:tRNA from 1 species